UUCCCUAUCGUUUUAGGGAGAUAGUUUAUUUUGCUUGACAUACUAAUUAGGGAACAGGUGUGCCCCAUUACAAUCUAAGCUCAUGGCUGGGACAUGUUCCUGGUGAGAGAGGAAAAACAUAGGUUCAGAUUCCCUAAAAUACGGGAAUUAAUUUGAAACAGGCCUCUGCACUCUGCUGUGUUCUGAGAACUGGAUAGAAAGAGUUAUUACUGAUUAUCACUCUUGUAUUCUUCUAAUACCACAUUUUAAAGUUCUCAUGAAAUUAAAAAUGAGCCUUUUGUGCUGAAACAGUUUUUUUUUUUCUUUUUCUUUUGUACUAACAGAGAAAAUAGAAUCUGGUCUUUGCAAGUAGGAUUCCCAUGUGGGCUCCAGGAAGAUAUUUUAUUGUCUUUAGGGCAAGAACUAAUUCAGAUAACAGCUCUUUUAUUCAUCACCUAUGAAUCCUGACCUUGACCUAGAAAGUCUAUCCUCAGUGUUGUGUGAGGGGCAAUUAAACUUCUGACUCUGAGAAGGUGGGAAGUGAAUUCAACUAGAGCACAUACUGUUGAACAAAUUAUGGUCAGACAGCUCACUGAGAUCUUACACAAAGUAAAGACACUUCAAAAUUCAUGCUGAAGGAGCAUAACACAAAAUCUCUGAUGUUCUGUUUUCUGCCAGUAGUGUCUGACAACAAUAAAGGUUUGCGUGUCUCUAAAAACUGCAGAGGAGCACAACCAAUUAAAUUGGGCAUCCGGUCUUUUGCUGAAGGAACAGUCUGCAGCUUCCAAAUGAUUGCAAUUCUCUUUUGCCAUUAUAGGAAAAUCUUUUUAUCCUGUCACCAAGUUCCAAAGGUAUAAAACAGUUUACAGUUCACA
rnacentral:lncRNA from 1 species